AAGAUAUUAGUAAAACAAUUACAAGUCCUUGUCGAGGCCUAAUUACUAGUUUGAACCUUGUAUAUCUUA
rnacentral:tRNA from 1 species